rnacentral:rRNA from 1 species
GAGGCGAACCGGGGGAACUGAAACAUCUAAGUACCCCGAGGAAAAGAAAUCAACCGAGAUUCCGAAAGUAGCGGCGAGCGAAAUUGGACUAGCCCUUAAGCUUUACACGCGUUAGACGAACGGUCUGGAAAGUCCGACGAUACAGGGUGAUAGUCCCGUAGUUGACGACGUGUGUUCAGUGAAAUCGAGUAGGGCGGGACACGUGAUAUCCUGUCUGAAUAUGGGGGGACCAUCCUCCAAGGCUAAAUACUACUGACUGA